rnacentral:lncRNA from 1 species
AACAACAUUGUCAUCGAAGUUGUUUUAAGUCACAAGUGAACACAAGGUUAAAUUGAUUAUUGGUGCUCAAUUAAGCAAAAACUAUCUCUCUAGCUACCAAAUAGUUAAUUGAUUUUAAUUUCUUGACAGGACACAAUCUCAAGACAUUUAUUUUAUCUGGGAUUUGUGCAUAAAUUUUUCUAAACUUUUAUUCUAAUUAUUAUGGCAGAUUAGUUGUAAUUUUGGCAUAUUGAACAGGUCUCAACUUUUUUCUGAAGUGAAAAUGGCUGUAGCUUUAGCUUCAAGUUUGCAAAUUACAGCCUUUAAAUCCUCUAUUUUCUCAGCUGGAAGAAUCAUAAGAGCACGCAUGGCAAGUGGUGGCACCGAUAAUCAAGGGGCAUCGUGGUCUAAGCUUUCUAUUGCUUGUCACGUAUCAUCUUGACAACUCUUCCACCGUACUUUCACAUCUCCCUCAAAAUUUAAUAAAUUCGUCACAAAGGCAAUGCCCGAAGGUGGUGAAAAUAAGCCUGCACCUAGAUUGCCGAUUAAUUUGAAGGGUGCUUUUUAUUUUUAUUUUUCCUUUUGUUACUGGAUUCUGGAAGACCCUUUUCUACAGUAAAAAUCAUAUGUUCAAGCAUACUUUUUGUGCAAUCUUUCUAUAUUUUCUUUCAUGGAUAACUAAAUCCGACCUUUCACUAAACGUGUGCUUUCAUUAUUCAUGAAGGAAAUAUGGAACACUUUAUAUGUGAAAGACCUAUUAUUGGAUAAUUCAUGGGUAGAGCCAAAGAGUGUGGUGUGAACUAUCUCUCUCGAUACAUUAAUUCCUCAAAAAAUCAAUUUCAUGCAGAUUCUUCCCCCAACUAAGGAAUUGUUUGAUUACCUUGUCUAAUUUCUUUUCUCAUUAUAUAAUUGAUAAUUGAUUUAGAUUGCAUCUUCACACCCUUUAAUUUUAAUAUUUAAAUUAUUUUUAAAUUUUUUAUAUUUUGUUCAGGUUGCUAACGGGGACUAGGAGAGUGGAUCUAGCCGUAAGAAGAAUGUUAGGUAUAAAUAACUCACUUCUUGGUGACAUAUAAGAGUUUCUGAAUCAAAUCUCUUUAGAAAGAAGAUCUUUUGUCUCAUGGUAGCCUGUUGCUGUGAGCGAAAUGGGAGCAGCCUAAACCGUGAAAACGGGAUUGUGGGAGAGCAAUACAAGCAUCGUGUUGCUAGGAGAAUUCAAAAGAAUUAAUAGAAUUCGAGGUAUAAAAUAGGUAAGUGUAACAAAAAGAAUUUCAAAUAUCAUGUGAAUUCAAACAAAUCCAUUGUCUUACUUAUUAUUUACGAUGGCUUUGAUUUAUUAUUACUUUAUUGAUUUUGAUCUUCUUGUUUGUAAUACUAAUCGAUAGGGCCUCAUUGGUAAGUGCUACAAGAUCUCGUGCAUUGGAACCCAUGGUUAUGGACCCGAAUUAAUUAGUAUGGAAUAUUUUCUUUUCCAAGGGAUUUCCCAAAGAAUUGAUCUUUCUUUUAGUUGUUGAAUCUCUCUUUGAUUGAUAAAUGUGUGAAUGGGAUGGUUACAACAGCAUAUGAGAUUCAACACAAUAAAUUAAUUCAACAAAAAAAAAUAAUAAUAAUAUUUUGUGUAUCCUCUAACUGCCUCCAAGUUUAACAUUAACAUUUAAGGAAGAAAAUAUUGGAGUAGCUUUUCUCGAUUAGGUAAUAAUCAUAGUCUUCAUUUAUCUCAAUUACAUGUUUAGACCCUCACAUCAAGUAAGAAAUCCUUUUUGAUUUGAAGGCAGUUGUUCAUGUGGUUGGAUGAGAUUCUUUCUUUAUUCUUUUAUAGAGAUCAAUAUGUGUGUUGGGUUUUGAUACCCAAUAAAUCCCGGGCUAUGAUGUUAAUGUGGGUUAAUAUUAUUUCAUAGACAUAGGCCGAAGAAUGAAAUAAGUCCAACAACCAAGUCCAUGAGCUACACUUGAUCCAAUUGUAUUUCCUAUGGAUGGUUUGAAUCUUGGCCCGUUUACCCCUUUAAUGGUCCAACUUAAAGCCUAACCCUACAGUAUAUAUAUGGCUAUAACCCUAACCACUUUCUAAUGAUGUAUUGUGUGAUUUUGAGAGAAGAAAAAGAGAAUCCCGGCUGUCCCCCUUUGUGUGAGAAAAAAGGUCUCUAGAAGUGUCAGAACGCUUGUAUAACGUGUGCAAUUGGUGAUUCCUUCAUAGUAUACAUAUGUGGUGUCUUCUCCUAGUUUUUGUGGCCACAAAUCAUCAUCUUUUCUUGUCCUACAUGGGUAAGAUUGAAUUGCAACCGAGAUGAAUCAAUUGGUUGUGGUUUGGAGCAGAUUGGACUGGUUGUUGGUUGAGAAAUGUGCGUUGGACUGAGCCCAAAAAUCACCGAUUUGAAGAUCUUUCAAGAAAGCUUGCGCAACAUUUGGUAUCAGAGUGAGGUUGGGGUGGAAUUUCUAGGCAAAAUCCGACCAGAAAAUCGGCAGAAAUCAGAAAAAUAAAACUGUCCAGAAUUUUUUCCCAAAAAUCGGAUCUGCAACUUCAAUUUUCGGCGAAUCCAGACUUCUUUUGAUGAAACGGAGGCUGGAUUCAUGAUCUGCAAGUGGAGGCGGUGCUAGGUGGCCGGUGCAUGUGGGUGACGAUGGUCGGCGACGGCGGCGCAUGGGCAAUCCGACGAAGGCGCGUGUGGGCGAAUGUGAUCUUUUCUGGAGAAGCUGUCUUUAGGCAAUUUGUUCCUCACAUUAAUUCUAACAUUUUUCGUAUUGAAAGUUUUCUGUUUUAGGUUACACAGAAAAAGUUGGAUGAUUUUGCCCCUGAAAAUCGAACUGCAUUUGUUGGCAGGCUGCAUGGUUAUAUUUACUGAAUCUUUAGGACGAAUAGUGGUGGUCCUAAAGCAGCAGAUUCGCAUCUCUCUCGAUUAUACGAACUCAGACACGUCCGCUAUGGUAAGCUGGCUUAACCCGUUAAUUUCAGCAUUAGCACGUCACCCUGUGGGGUGAAAAUAGGUUGGCAGUUGUCAUUGUUUGGCAACCAUUUCUUGUGCUAGAAAUUAGCAUUACUUGCUCUUUUGUGAUUGAGUACUUAUUCUUGGAUAAAUUAGCGUAUUGUGCUUUGUGCUAAAAUUGUCGUGAAAUUUCGUUUGAUUGGAUAUACCUAUUUUGUUACAUCGUAAAUUCCACUGUGUUGUUACUUCCAUUAGAAUAACUAGACUUUACCCAUUCG